GAUUGAACGCUGGCGGCAUGCCUUACACAUGCAAGUCGAACGGUAACAGGGAGCUUGCUCCGCUGACGAGUGGCGAACGGGUGAGUAAUGUAUCGGAACGUACCAUUCAGUGGGGGAUAACGUAGCGAAAGUUACGCUAAUACCGCAUACGAUCUACGGAUGAAAGCGGGGGAUCGCAAGACCUCGCGCGAAUGGAGCGGCCGAUGUCAGAUUAGGUAGUUGGUGGGGUAAAGGCUCACCAAGCCAACGAUCUGUAGCUGGUCUGAGAGGACGACCAGCCACACUGGAACUGAGACACGGUCCAGACUCCUACGGGAGGCAGCAGUGGGGAAUUUUGGACAAUGGGCGCAAGCCUGAUCCAGCCAUUCCGCGUGCAGGAUGAAGGCCUUCGGGUUGUAAACUGCUUUUGUACGGAACGAAACGGCGAGCUCUAAUACAGUUUGCUAAUGACGGUACCGUAAGAAUAAGCACCGGCUAACUACGUG
rnacentral:rRNA from 1 species